ACACUGGUACUGAGACACGGACCAGACUCCUACGGGAGGCAGCAGUAAGGAAUAUUGGGCAAUGGACGCAAGUCUGACCCAGCCAUGCCGCGUGAAGGAUGAAUGUCCUAUGGAUUGUAAACUUCUUUUAUGCAGGAAAAACAUCCCGGUCGUGAACCGGGACUGAUGGUACUGUAUGAAUAAGCAUCGGCUAACUCCGUGCCAGCAGCCGCGGUAAUACGGAGGAUGCAAGCGUUAUCCGGAUUCAUUGGGUUUAAAGGGUGCGCAGGCGGAAUGAUAAGUCAGUGGUGAAAUCUCUCGGCUCAACCGGGAAACUGCCAUUGAUACUGUCGUUCUUGAGUACAGUUGAAGUGGGCGGAAUGUGUCAUGUAGCGGUGAAAUGCUUAGAUAUGACACAGAACACCGAUAGCGAAGGCAGCUCACUAAGCUGUAACUGACGCUCAUGCACGAAAGCGUGGGGAUCAAACAGGAUUAGAUACCCUGGUAGUCCACGCUGUAAACGAUGAUCACUCGUUGUUAGCGAUAUACUGUUAGCGACUGAGCGAAAGCAUUAAGUGAUCCACCUGGGGAGUACGGCGGCAACGUUGAAACUCAAAGGAAUUGACGGGGGCCCGCACAAGCGGAGGAGCAUGUGGUUUAAUUCGAUGAUACGCGAGGAACCUUACCUGGGCUUAAAUGUAGGACGACGUUCCGCGAAAGCGGGAUUUCCUUCGGGACGUCUUGCAAGGUGCUGCAUGGUUGUCGUCAGCUCGUGCCGUGAGGUGUCGGGUUAAGUCCCAUAACGAGCGCAACCCCUAUCAUUAGUUGCCAUCAGGUAAUGCUGGGGACUCUAAAGAAACUGCCUACGCAAGUAGUGAGGAAGGCGGGGAUGACGUCAAAUCAGCACGGCCCUUACGUCCAGGGCUACACACGUGCUACAAUGGCCGGUACAGAGGGCAGCUACCUGGUGACAGGAUGCUAAUCUCGAAAGCCGGUCUCAGUUCGGAUCGAAGUCUGCAACUCGACUUCGUGAAGUUGGAUUCGCUAGUAAUCGCGCAUCAGCCAUGGCGCGGUGAAUACGUUCCCGGGCCUUGUACACACCGCCCGUCAAGCCAUGGAAGCCGGGAGUACCUAAAGUCCGUAACCGCAAGGAACGGCCUAGGGUAAAACUGGUAACUGGGGCUAAGUCGUAACAAGGUAGCCGUACCG
rnacentral:rRNA from 1 species